AGAUGCGAUCAUACCAGCACUAAAGCACCGGAUCCCAUCAGACCUCCGAAGUUAAGCGUGCUUGGGCGAGAGUAGUACUAGGAUGGGUGACCUCCUAGGAAGUCCUCGUGUUGCAUUCC
rnacentral:rRNA from 1 species